CAUGAGAUGAUCUUUCCCUAGUACAAGAGGAUCGGGAAGGUCCCACCUCUAGUUUACCAGCUAUCGUGCCCACGGUAAAAGCUGGGUAUCCAAGUGCGGAGCAAAUAGCUACCUAAAGCAUCUAAGUAGUUUGCCCCCUCUAAGAUG
rnacentral:ncRNA from 1 species